rnacentral:rRNA from 1 species
GAUGAACGCUGGCGGCGUGCCUAAUACAUGCAAGUCGAGCGAACGGACGAGAAGCUUGCUUCUCUGAUGUUAGCGGCGGACGGGUGAGUAACACGUGGAUAACCUACCUAUAAGACUGGGAUAACUUCGGGAAACCGGAGCUAAUACCGGAUAAUAUUUUGAACCGCAUGGUUCAAAAGUGAAAGACGGUCUUGCUGUCACUUAUAGAUGGAUCCGCGCUGCAUUAGCUAGUUGGUAAGGUAACGGCUUACCAAGGCAACGAUGCAUAGCCGACCUGAGAGGGUGAUCGGCCACACUGGAACUGAGACACGGUCCAGACUCCUACGGGAGGCAGCAGUAGGGAAUCUUCCGCAAUGGGCGAAAGCCUGACGGAGCAACGCCGCGCGAGUGAUGAAGGUCUUUGGAUCGUAAAACUCUGUUAUUAGGGAAGAACAUAUGUGUAAGUAACUGUGCACAUCUUGACGGUACCUAAUCAGAAAGCCACGGCUAACUACGUG